rnacentral:rRNA from 1 species
UACGAAGGGGGCUAGCGUUGCUCGGAAUCACUGGGCGUAAAGCGCACGUAGGCGGAUUGUUAGGUCAGGGGUGAAAUCCUGGAGCUCAACUCCAGAACUGCCUUUGAUACUGGCGAUCUUGAGUCCGGGGAGAGGUGAGUGGAACUGCGAGUGUAGAGGUGAAAUUCGUAGAUAUUCGGAGGAACACCAGUGGCGAAGGCGGCUCACUGGCUCGGUACUGACGCUGAGGUGCGAAAGCGUGGGGAGCAAACAGG